rnacentral:rRNA from 1 species
UACGUAGGGGGGCAAGCGUUGUCCGGAAUCAUUGGGCGUAAAGCGCGUGUAGGCGGCCCGGUAAGUCCGCUGUGAAAAGUCCAGGGCUCAACCCUGGGAUGCCGGUGGAUACUGUCGGGCUCGAGUCCGGAAGAGGAGUGUGGAAUUCCUGGUGUAGCGGUGAAAUGCGCAGAUAUCAGGAGGAACACCAAUGGCGAAGGCAGCACUCUGGGACGCGACUGACGCUGAGACGCGAAAGCGUGGGGAGCAAACAGG